UUGCCCAAGGUGGGAUCUCUGCUCAAUGAACCUUCACUGUUGUUAAAUGAAGGCACAUUUUUGUACAUCUAUGUGUCACUGUGGUUCGUCUUUGGAGGAGGGACCCAAGUAAUCAUCACUGGUCAGCCCACAGUCUCUCCUACGGUGCGAGCUUUUGGUCCUCCCCAGGAAGACAUCAGGAGAAGGACAAGGUCAGCCCAGGACAAGGCCACCUUGGUGUGUCUCUUAAGCAACUUUUACCCACCUAAUUUCAACCUACAAUGGAAGGUUGAUGGGAACUUGAUCACAUCUGGAGUGGAGACCAGCAAAGCUACCAAGCAGGGUGACAAAUACCUUGCCAGCAGUUACCUCUCCUUGAGUGCCUCUGAGUAUGGAAAGCAUAACAUUUACACCUGUGAAGUGACACACGAAGGAAAGACCAUUACGAAGUCUGUGUCCGGCUCUGGAAGUUGUUAACUCCAUCAUGAAUCCCUCUCCUGCCAUCGGGCAGCAGGAAAGAGCCCCUCCAUGGCUCUCAUUUAUUCUUUCCGAAUCUUAGCUUGAUCAAUAACAUUUAUUUCUGUCUCAUAUAGUUACACUCUUUGUAACCUCUCCAUGCCGACACCCCUUGAAAUCAAUCCCCCUUCCCUUUGUCUUAGUUUCUACCAUUAGAAGAUUAAUAAAGAUGGAUGUAUUUCA